rnacentral:lncRNA from 1 species
UGCCACCCCUCAGUGCUGGAAGGUUGCCGCGUUGGCACAUUGCCGCAGGGCAGGCCCAUCAUGCAGGAAGCCAUUUUACACCUUCAGUUGUCACCUGCAUCUGCAGGAGUUGGUGUUUCACACACCUGCUGAGACAUGAGGCCUCCUAACUGGUGGCACUGGAGGAGAAAUACUGUAGCAGCUUUUAUUUCUGGUGAAAUACAGCCAGGUCAUUGAUAUCGCCUGGCUCCAAAAGCAAGCUGCAAUCUCCAGCUGAAGAAAACUUAUGCAUUGAGAAAAUCCAAUUCCCCUUGGUCUGCUGUGAAGGCUUCAAUACCGGGUUCAUCCAGAAAUAUGCAUCUUGUAGAAUACUGAAAGAUGUCUCUGAGCUAAGUUACUGAUAUGCCACAGCAAUUCAUCUACUUGAAGAAAUAUGGAUUUGUCAGCAAAGGUUUCCUCUGUGCUGGGAGUGGGUCAGAGCCAGCAGGCACUGAGGCACUGAGGCAACAUGCAGCCGGGAUGCAGUGCUCCAGAAGUCAGUGGCAGCUAUGUCAGAGCCAGCAGAAUGAUGUUUGUUGCACACAGAUAUAAACUUUUGCUCUCCUAUUUGCUAACAGGAGGAAUGUGCUUAGCUGAAGAGGUCAGUAGUCUUGAUGUCAGUGAUACCUUGUGGUUAUAAGCUCUGUAGGAAAGCUUUAUUAGAGCUGCCCUUCCCCGUUUAUGAUGAUUGAAUUAAAAGAGACUGCUA